rnacentral:rRNA from 1 species
GUGGGGAAUUUUGGACAAUGGGCGCAAGCCUGAUCUAGCAAUGCCGCGUGCAGGAAGAAGGCCUUCGGGUUGUAAACUGCUUUUGUACGGAACGAAACGGUCCUGGUUAAUACCCGGGGCUAAUGACGGUACCGUAAGAAUAAGCACCGGCUAACUACGUGCCAGCAGCCGCGGUAAUACGUAGGGUGCAAGCGUUAAUCGGAAUUACUGGGCGUAAAGCGUGCGCAGGCGGUGCUGUAAGACAGGCGUGAAAUCCCCGGGCUCAACCUGGGAACUGCAUUUGUGACUGCAUUGCUGGAGUGCGGCAGAGGGGGAUGGAAUUCCGCGUGUAGCAGUGAAAUGCGUAGAUAUGCGGAGGAACACCGAUGGCGAAGGCAAUCCCCUGGGCCUGCACUGACGCUCAUGCACGAAAGCGUGGGGAGCAAACAGGAUUAGAAACCCCGGUAGUCC